CUCCUGUGGAAUUGUUCCUGUGUGGAUUAUGUACUGAAAUGUUUGUUGUAUGUAUGGAAUUAGUGUAGGUGCGAAGGUUUUGUAGUAUUGGUUUGUUAGUCCGUCUGGUCCCGGUGAUUUCCCUGUGGGCAGUCGGGAGAUAGCAUCUUUUAGUUCUUCCAUCGUAAUUUGUUCAGACAGUGCGUUUUUUUGUUCAUUUGUUAGGGUUCAUUUGCAGGUACCCCUCGAUGUCUGAAGUGGUGGGUUGGUGUAGGGUUUUGUCUUCUCUUAGGUUAUAUAGGGCACUGUAAAAGGUCACUAGUUCCUUAUUCAUGUCUUUUGGGUUCCAAAGUUUUUGAUUAUCUUUGGAGAGGACGUAUUGGAUUUUAGCAUUCGAUUGCUUUUUGCGUAGCAUGUUGGCCAGUAGUUUGCUAGCUUUAUUCCCUUCGCGCAUAAUGGGUCAUCUUAAAUUUUUGUAAGAUGUAUGCUGUCUUUUGAAAUUGUUGUUCAUUGAUUUUGGUGGUUAUGGUUUGGAUUUCCGUUAG